rfam:Ictidomys tridecemlineatus contig051172, whole genome shotgun sequence.
UAGCUCAGUUGGUAGAGUGCUUGCCUUGCAUGCACAAGGCCCUGGGUUCGAUCCCCAG